GCCUCUGUGGCCUAAUGGAUAAAGGCAUCGGUCUCCUAAACCGGGGAUUGUGGGGGGUUCGAGUCCCACCAGAGGUA